rnacentral:rRNA from 1 species
AAUCAACGCUGGCGGCGUGCCUAACACAUGCAAGUCGAACGCGAAAGUCCCGCAAGGGAUGAGUAGAGUGGCAAACGGGUGAGUAACACGUGGGUGACCUGCCUUCGAGCGGGGGAUAACGUCCCGAAAGGGACGCUAAUACCGCAUGACAUCCUGCCUUUGAAGAGGUGGAGAUCAAAGCUGGGGAUCGCAAGACCUAGCACUUGAAGAGGGGCCCGCGUCUGAUUAGCUAGUUGGUGGGGUAACGGCUCACCAAGGCAACGAUCAGUAUCCGGCCUGAGAGGGCGGACGGACACACUGGGACUGAGACACGGCCCAGACUCCUACGGGAGGCAGCAGUGGGAAUUGUUCGCAAUGGGCGCAAGCCUGACGACGCAACGCCGCGUGGAGGAUG